GUCGAACGGCAGCAUGAUCUAGCUUGCUAGAUUGAUGGCGAGUGGCGAACGGGUGAGUAAUACAUCGGAACGUGCCCUGUAGUGGGGGAUAACUAGUCGAAAGAUUAGCUAAUACCGCAUACGACCUGAGGGUGAAAGUGGGGGACCGCAAGGCCUCAUGCUAUAGGAGCGGCCGAUGUCUGAUUAGCUAGUUGGUGAGGUAAAGGCUCACCAAGGCGACGAUCAGUAGCUGGUCUGAGAGGACGAUCAGCCACACUGGGACUGAGACACGGCCCAGACUCCUACGGGAGGCAGCAGUGGGGAAUUUUGGACAAUGGGGGCAACCCUGAUCCAGCAAUGCCGCGUGUGUGAAGAAGGCCUUCGGGUUGUAAAGCACUUUUGUCCGGAAAGAAAUCGCACUUACUAAUAUUAGGUGUGGAUGACGGUACCGGAAGAAUAAGGACCGGCUAACUACGUGCCAGCAGCCGCGGUAAUACGUAGGGUCCAAGCGUUAAUCGGAAUUACUGGGCGUAAAGCGUGCGCAGGCGGUUGUGCAAGACCGAUGUGAAAUCCCGGGCUUAACCUGGGAAUUGCAUUGGUGACUGCACGGCUAGAGUGUGUCAGAGGGGGGUAGAAUUCCACGUGUAGCAGUGAAAUGCGUAGAGAUGUGGAGGAAUACCGAUGGCGAAGCAGCCCCUGGGAUACACUGACGCUCAUGCACGAANGCGUGGGGNAGCAANCAGGAUNNGAUACCCUGGUAGUCCACGCCCUAAACGAUGUCAACUAGUUGUUGGGGAUUCAUUUCUUAGUAACGUAGCUAACGCGUGAAGUUGACCGCCUGGGGAGUACGGUCGCAAGAUUAAAACUCAAAGGAAUUGACGGGGACCCGCACAAGCGGUGGAUGAUGUGGAUUAAUUCGAUGCAACGCGAAAAACCUUACCUACCCUUGACAUGCCACUAACGAAGCAGAGAUGCAUUAGGUGCUCGAAAGAGAAAGUGGACACAGGUGCUGCAUGGCUGUCGUCAGCUCGUGUCGUGAGAUGUUGGGUUAAGUCCCGCAACGAGCGCAACCCUUGUCUCUAGUUGCUACGAAAGGGCACUCUAGAGAGACUGCCGGUGACAAACCGGAGGAAGGUGGGGAUGACGUCAAGUCCUCAUGGCCCUUAUGGGUAGGGCUUCACACGUCAUACAAUGGUGCAUACAGAGGGUUGCCAAGCCGCGAGGUGGAGCUAAUCCCAGAAAAUGCAUCGUAGUCCGGAUCGUAGUCUGCAACUCGACUACGUGAAGCUGGAAUCGCUAGUAAUCGCGGAUCAGCAUGCCGCGGUGAAUACGUUCCCGGGUCUUGUACACACCGCCCGUCACACCAUGGGAGUGGGUUUUGCCAGAAGUAGUUAGCCUAACCGCAAGGGGGGCGAUUACCACGGCAGGGUUCAUGACUGGGGUGAAGUCGUAACAAGGUAA
rnacentral:rRNA from 1 species